rnacentral:rRNA from 1 species
GAUGAACGCUGGCGGCGUGCCUAAUACAUGCAAGUCGAGCGAGUGGAUUAAGAGCUUGCUCUUAUGAAGUUAGCGGCGGACGGGUGAGUAACACGUGGGUAACCUGCCCAUAAGACUGGGAUAACUCCGGGAAACCGGGGCUAAUACCGGAUAACAUGUUGAACCGCAUGGUUCGAAAUUGAAAGGCGGCUUCGGCUGUCACUUAUGGAUGGACCCGCGUCGCAUUAGCUAGUUGGUGAGGUAACGGCUCACCAAAGCAACGAUGCGUAGCCGACCUGAGAGGGUGAUCGGCCACACUGGGACUGAGACACGGCCCAGACUCCUACGGGAGGCAGCAGUAGGGAAUCUUCCGCAAUGGACGAAAGUCUGACGGAGCAACGCCGCGUGAGUGAUGAAGGCUUUCGGGUCGUAAAACUCUGUUGUUAGGGAAGAACAAGUGCUAGUUGAAUAAGCUGGCACCUUGACGGUACCUAACCAGAAAGCCACGGCUAACUACGUGCCAGCCGCCGCCGUAA